UUCCAGGUCCUUGAACGGCGGCCAGGCUGUGAUAAAACUGAAUUAGUCAUUACACUAAUCAGGUCGGAGAACUCCACAGAGAGAAUCUGCUUGAACACAAUGGGAAAUUUGGCCAAGGCUUUUCUGAAAUGCUGGGAAAGG